rnacentral:snoRNA from 1 species
CUGCAGCCAGUGGAACCUACUGUGUUAUCAUCCCCCAUGGAGACUAGUGUUCUAUGACUAUACACAGUAGCCUCAUUGGUAGUGUCAGAAGGUUGUGGCUUGUAUAAAAUUUCCUCAAGGGGCUUGGAUAUAAGC